UCCAGGAGGCAGCAGGCGCGUAAAUUACCCAAUGUGGACUCCACGAGGUAGUGACGAGAAAUAUCAAUGCGGGGCGCUUCGCGUCUUGCUAUUGGAAUGAGAGCAAUGUAAAACCCUCAUCGAGGAUCAACUGGAGGGCAAGUCUGGUGCCAGCAGCCGCGGUAAUUCCAGCUCCAGAAGCGUAUGCUAAAGUUGUUGCAGUUAAAAAGCUCGUAGUUGAAUUUCUGGUGUGGGAGCCCAGGCCUCGGUGCGAAUGCGCCUUGUAUUGCCUUGCGGCUCCUUUGCCAUCCUCGUCUGACUUUUCAAGAGUCUUUCUCUGUGGUAAAAAAAGAGAGUGCUCCGCAGGCGGCAGGGGGGCUGUGUUUUUUAUGGGGGGAUAACAUAUGAGACUGGGGCUCUUUUUUUGGUGUGUGCAUCUCAGAAAUGAGAAUUAUGAGCACUCGCGGGUGUCCCCAUAUUUGAGCUCUAGGUGAGAAUCUUGUAGUUUUCAAAAACAACAACAGCGANAGCGUUUAUCACCNCAUGUUUUUUUCAAUUCAACAAGAAAAAAUCUGGGGGAGCGAAGAUGAUGAUAUAUACCU
rnacentral:rRNA from 1 species